rnacentral:tRNA from 1 species
UCCCUCAUGGUCCAAUGGCUAAGACUCUGAGCUCCCAAUGCAGAGGGCCAGGGUUAGAUCCCCAGUGAGGGAA